AGCUACUUGAUUUAAUAUUUAGUUACUUCUGCCCAGUGAUUUUUUAACGGCCGCAGUACUUUGACUGUGCUAAGGUAGCAUAAUCAAUUGACUUUUAAUUGAAGUCUGGAAUGAAUGGAAAAUUGGGAAAAUUCUGUCUUUUUCAAAUUUUUAUUAAAUUAUUAUUAAGGUGAAAAUACCUUAAGUUAAAAAAAAGACGAGAAGACCCUUAGAGUUUUUUUGUUGGGGUGACAUUUAAGCUAACCUUAAUUUAUGAAUAAAUAAACUACCUUAGGGAUAACAGCAUAAUAUUUUUUUAAGAUUGUGACCUCGAUGUUGGACUAGGAAAUAAAUAAUUAGAUAUUAAUAUAUAAGGUUCUGUUCGAACUUUUUCUCCU
rnacentral:rRNA from 1 species